GGUUCAAGCAAUGAGCGAGGAAACGACAAAUACUUGAGAUCUGAGAUGCACCUCAUGUGGGUUCAGUCCUCUCACCUUUAUAGAAUGUGUUCGGCCACUGAAAUGAGCCACAGCUGACGACUUGCACUCCUGGAUUCAUCACACCUCAAGGAUAAACAUAAU